AGCAGACAUUAAAAUCAAAAUUAUCUUUGAAAACUACCCAUAGAGUACAGUAUCUUUAAAAUGUGGCUGGCAGGGAACUAGGAUCUCUUUUUUUGAAAUUAUUUUAUUUGAAAAAACAGAUUAAGAAAAAUAGAAAGGAAAUACAAAACAAAAAAGAACAUUAUCAUGUGCCCAAAAGAACAUCAGAGAGGAUUCAAAAUAUAUAACAACAAAUUAACAGAUCAAGAAAGUAUAUAUAUGAAAUUAUAUUCAUAAAUGAUUAUUUUUUUUUACUUCCUUGUAAAUUGUUCUUUGAUUCUUUGCUUCUGCAUCUUAUUUACUUUAUUCUUUUUUCCACCUUCAUCCCCUUUACCAUGUCCAAGCAAGCUACAGUUAAGAAAAGAUAUGUUUAUAUAUAAAUAUAUCUGUCUAUACACACACUUAUAUACCCACAUACACAUAUGUCUUUCCUAUCCUUGCUGCUUCUUUAAUUGAGUUCUGCUCCAUAACUUGACUUGCUAUUACUUAAUCUUCCUCUGCCCAAAGAUAUUUCCCUAGUCUUUGUUCCUCACCCUUUGUUUCUCCAUCUGCCCAUCCUUUCCCCCUUACUUCUUUAUAGAUUUUAGAGAGUUCUAUACCCUUCAAAGUAAAUAUGUAGUGUCACCUAUUGAACCCAUUCCCUGAGUAGGUUUUCAGAACUACAAGCCCUCCUCCCCACUCCAAUGCCUCUCUGUCUAGUUUUCCUUUGCACCUCAAUUGUAUAACAUUAUUUCUAUUUUUACCUUAACUCUGUCAAUUUUCCUUUUGAGCUACCCUAUUGUUGAUGCAAAUGUUAAACAUAUAAUAGAUAUAUGUAUACAUAUAUAAAAACAUAAUUAGUCCAUGUUUAAACAGUUUGUCCAUGUUAAGUUCCUUAAAAUUGAUCUUUCAUAUUGGCUCUUAUAUAUUAAAUUUUCUGUUAAGUUUGGGUUUCGUUGAUAGAAAGUCCUGAAAAUCUGCAACUUUAUUGAAUGUCCAUUUUUUUCUCAUUCAUAAUUAUAGAUUAUUUUGCUAGAUAUGAUAUUUUGGGCUGUAGGCUUAAUUCUUUUGAUUAUUAGUAGAUAAUGAGUCCAAAUUUUCCCCUCCUUCCCCCCGCCCCCUCCCCUAGAUGGCAGGUAGUCCAAUACAUGUUGUUACAUGUUAUGUUACAAUAUAUGUUAAAUCCAAUAUAUGUACACAUAUUUAUACAGUUAUCUUGCUGCACAAGAAAAAUCAGAUCAAGAAGGAAAAAACCAAGAAAGAAAACAAAAUGCAAGCAAACAACAACAGAAAAAGUGAAAAUGCUUUGUUGUGGUCUACAUUCAGUUCCCACAGUCCUCUCUCUGGGCAUCCAUUCAGUUUCCCAGUUUCUUGCCACUACAAAGAGGGUUGCCACAAACAUUUUUGGACAUGUGAGUCCCUUUCCCUUCUUUAAGAUCUCUUUGGGAUAUAAUCUUAGUAGAAACACUGCUGGAUCAAAGAUUAUGCACAAUUUGAUAAAUUUUGAGCUCCAAAUUACUCUUCCUGAAUAGCUGGAUCCAUUCACAAUUCUACCAACAAUGUAUUUGUCUCCCAGUUUUCCCUCCAGCAUUCGUCAUUAUCUUUUCCUAUCCUCUUAGCCAAUCUGAGAGGUGUGUAGUGGUAUCUAAGAGUUGUCUUUAUUUGCAUCUCUCUGAUCAAUAGUGAUUUAGAGCACCUUUUCAUAUGACUAGAAAUGAUUUUAAUUUCUUCAUCUGAAAAUUGUCUGUUCAUAUCCUUUGGCCAUUUAUCAAUUGGGGAAUGGCUUGAAUUCUUAUAAAUUUGAAUUAAUUCUCUAUAUAUUGUAGAAAUGAGGCCUUUAUUAGAAACCUCUAAAUGUAAAAACGUUUUCCCAAUUUGUGAGCAUUUAAUUUUUAAGACUUCAAAAAUUUAUUGUAUUUUAUUAAUAACUUCAUUUUAACUUUCAUGUUGAAAAAAAAAGAGACAGAGGUAUGUGGAGUUACUGGUAUCCUAUUAGGCGCUUCACUAGUUUUCUUCACCCUAUUAUUGUAAAGAAUUCUCUGUGCAUCCACUGCAUAAAGUACAGUGGAAGUCCUUUGGGCUUUAAGGUGAUAUUGAAACCUCACCAGUCUCUAUGUCUUCCAAAUGUAGCAACUAAAGUCCCAGCAAUCUCUCCUUUGGUUUUCAGAGGCCAGCCAAGGUAGAGAGGUUUACAGCCAGAUAGCAUUUAGCAUAACUUAUUUACACUGCUAUCUGACACAGUGGAAGGUAAAAUUCAGAUUUUAAAAAGUUUUAGUUUUAAUCAUCUUAUUUGCUGUACUAUAUUUAUGGCAUGGAUUUCAUGUGGUAUGAAAAGUGAAUAUUGUCUGAAAUAAAAAUUUUUAUAUUCAGAUGUUAGCACAAAAGAUGUUAGCACAGAAUUCUCAGGAAUUACUAGUGCGAAAAAUGUUUUGCAUAUUAUCAAUUUAUUUUGUUUAUUGCAUUUUGUGUAUUAUUUCAUGGUUUCAUAUUUUCAGAAUCAAUAUUUUUAAAUAAAAGUUAUAUGCAGAACACUAUAUUUUCAAUAAUGUCUAGUUUUAAGUGAUUGCAGGAACCUAACCCUCUACUUUUCAUAGCUACAGUGUAUCGACAUUUAAGUUUUUUUACUUUUGCACCAUUUUCUAGUAAUAUUAAUCUUAUGAAAAUUGAUGAUUGAUUAUGAUUUUUCUUGAACAAUUCCUACAUGAAUAUCCUUGACAAAGUUUUUCAUAGGCCAGUAUGCCUGCACUUACUUGGUAUUGGUAGAAUACCAGUUAACCCCCAAUAGUCCUUUUGGAUUUUUUUUUAAAGGAAAAUGAGUUGGAAAAAAGCCAUUGAGACUCAUACCAUUUUGGCUAACCACUCAGAAUAUAGCAGUGGACCUAGCUAACAACUCAGAACAUGGCAGAGAGCACUUAUAAUUGAUUAUCUUAUUUUACUAUAGGUAUAGUAGUAGAAGAAAACAAUUUCAGGUUCAUGCAAAAAUGAUUCUGAUACAUAUUGUGAGAUUUUGAAAGUAAUUUUCCUUUUGAAUGUAGAUAUUUUGGUUGCUAUAAAAAUUUUGGAAGGGAAAUUGAAAAAAAUCAGCUUGCGGAGAAAUACAGACCACCAGACAAAAUGUUGAGGACUGACAGUUCUGCUCCUCAAAUAAUAUACUAAAAAGUCCUGUUUGAAAGCUCUAUGGAGGUGACAAUGGUUUCAAGACACUGUGGCUUAUCAGCUCAUUUUCAUGUAACUGUCAUCAGAGUUUAAAAAGUUAUAUCUAAGGAACUAUAUAUAAAUCAAAUAACUUUGGAUACCAUAGAAAAUUUAUAUAGAGACUAUUGAGGUCAUAUUUGACAGAAAGAUGGAUAAUUCAAGUUUUACAUAGAUGAGUUAUUUUUAUGAGAUGACCCUGAUCUGGGACAUUAGAAAUCUUAGGAGAAAGAUGAGAUGACUAGAUGAUAGGAGAAAAGGAGUUAGAAAAGACAGAAUACAAGAGGUGAAGAAAAUUGAUCAAAGCUGAGGUAGGGCUUGCAACAGUUUCCUGGAGAUUGUGAUGACUGGAAGACAAAUCUUGCUUUUCCAAGAACUGCAAAUUCCUAUUUAUAGAUUGAAUGGAGAAAUCUUUCAAAGACUUACUUUUGUAUUGCCCUCCUUUAUCCUUUCUGGCUUAAGAAGGAGUAAUAAAGAGGGAAAGCGUUGCUUUGCUGACAGCAAAUUGGAUAAAAUGAAAUCUGAUAUUUAAGAGUUUGUUGGACAUUAACUGGAAGACUCUAAUGAAAUUUACUGCUUGAGACUCAGGUUCUUCAGAUCCUCAAAAUAGAUAUCAGGAUAAGCAUUCAUUAAAUGUUUACAAUAUGUCAGAGCUAAAUACUGUGUAUACAAAGAAAGGCAAAAACAUGAUCUAGAUGCAUAUUCUUUCUGUAGUCUAGGCUCCCUUUCCAGUCUUGAAUCAACUAUCUCAAUGAAUCUAAAUCUGGAUUUCUGAGAAACCAGACCUAUUGCUUAGAUAGCAUAUCCACUUAAUGCUUACCUCAGGAUUUAGGUUGUACAGACUAGAAAUCUUUCAGAUUCAAAAUCUGAUGUGGAGUUUCCUUUAUGUAUCUUUAGCAACCCAUGUAUCUUAUCUGGGAACUACCUCCAUGAUGAUCAAUCACUUACUGUUUCUUUGUUCCUUUGUUUGAACUCUAUAUAAUCCAUAACAUUAUGAACACUUACAGGAAGUGGGUCAUUCCUUUUGCAGCUUCUCCAUCUGCCAGACAACUUCAUAUUUAUUGUUUACAAAUUAUUUCACAUCUAGGUUCUGUUUUCUGACACAGAAAUUAUGGUGUCAGAAGUGGGAUCUCUGAGGGUCAACCUGUGGAGCAAGACUGAGAAGGGAUCAAUCAGCAAGAACUAAACUCCAAUGUACUCUGAAGUCCAAUGUGGCCCCAGUUCCCAGCAGACCUCCAGGGCUUAUUCUGUUUCAAGAGACGAUUACCCUCACCAUAGCAAUAUCAUGUUUGCAUGGUUACAAGGACUUCCACAGAGGAAAAGAUAUUCCUGGCAACCCAAACUUGAAAUAAUCCUGGGAUUUCCCAGGUUUAAAUUUGAUUCCCUCCAUCCAUUCAUGAAGAAUUUACAUACUAAAGCAAAUUGUGAUGGGUGUUUGGUUGUUUGUUUGUUUAAUGGUGAACUGGUAUUUGUACCAAAGUAAGACUGUAUAAAAAUGCUUGUCAAUUUAAAAAACUCUUAUGAUAGUUAAUAAAUUAUAAGCAUCUUCAGAAAUGGACCAUGUUAAGUCAAGAUGCAUUUAUUAAUCAUUUAGCAGGAAUCAAGCACUUUGC
rnacentral:lncRNA from 1 species